CUAAUGUAAAUAUUGUUUUUGGGGGGACGUUAUUAGUGUUGCACAAAGCAAUGUUCAGUGACGUAGCUGCAGCAGCCAGGCAGAAGCUGCCUAACUGAGCUGCUGGACCGUGACGGUGAUGCGUGUAUCAUACCUGGUGCUGAGUGUGUCCCACUGUUUUAUAGGAAUAAAA